UGCCUGGUUGUGGGGGACAACGUUUGGAAAGGAACGCUAAUACCGCAUACGGUCAUAAGAGAGAAAACAGGGACCUAGGGCCUUGCGCUAUCAGAUGAAGCCUAGGUCGGAUUAGCUAGUUGGUGAGGUAAUAACUCACCAAGGAGACGAUCCAUAACUGGUCUGAGAGGAUGAUCAGUCACACUGGAACUGAGACGCGGUCCAGACUCCUACGGGAGGCAGCAGUGGGGAAUAUUGGACAAUGGGCGAAAGCCUGAUCCAGCCAUGCCGCGUGUGUGUAGAAGGUCUUCGGAUUGUAAAGCACUUUAAGUUGGGAGGAAGGGCAUUAACCUAAUACGUUAGUGUUUUGGCGUUACCGACAGAAUAAGCACCGGCUAACUAUGUGCCAGCAGCCGCGGUAAUACAGAGGGUGCAAGCGUUAAUCGGAAUUACUGGGCGUAAAGCGCGCGUAGGUGGUUUGUUAAGUUGGAUGUGAAAGCCCCGGGCUCAACCUGGGAACUGCAUCCAAAACUGGCAAGCUAGAGUACGGUAGAGGGUGGUGGAAUUUCCUGUGUAGCGGUGAAAUGCGUAGAUAUAGGAAGGAACACCAGUGGCGAAGGCGACCACCUGGACUGAUACUGACACUGAGGUGCGAAAGCGUGGGGAGCAAACAGGAUUGAGUACCCUGGUAGUCCACGCCGUAAACGAUGUCAACAAAAGGGUUGGAAUCCUUGAGAUUUUAGUGGCGCAGCUAACGCAUUAAGUGAAAGACAAAAGGAGGGCGGG
rnacentral:rRNA from 1 species